rnacentral:pre_miRNA from 1 species
GCGACUCCCGCGGUCUGCGGGUCGCCAGAUCUGGCGACCCGCAGACCGCGGGUGGCGA